GACUUUACUGCUGUUGUGUUUCGGUUUUAGCUCGUUAUUUGUUUGAAAGCAUCACUAUAGGGAUGGUUUUCUGAAGAACGUUGGAAUCUUCGGUGCUGAUCUCUCGUUUGCAUUUUUCUUUUAUAAGUUACAUGAUUAUGAUGGGGAUGUGCACCUUCACAUGAGGGUGGCUGAAGGCUGUGGUUGGAGCCUGUCCUUGAUUUUAAGUGUGUGGCCCUUCUAAAACCAGUUGGAAACAGUCUGUAUCCUCAAAAUAAGUUUGCUUGUGGAAUUGGAGCAAAAUCUGUGGAGAUGGUCAGUGAAAUAACAGGGUGCUGUAGAAAAUUACAUUGCUUCUGAAAUAGCUGGCAUGAAAAUCAUGAAGUCUGAGGUUUCAUUCAAAUCAGAUGUAUCUCUGGUUGUCGUGGGGCAGGAUACAAACUCUCCAAGGGAUUUACAGGGAGCCAUACAGUUGUUCCAGGUUGUUUUAACUUCAGGGCAGCUCUUUUCCCUUGUCCAGGUCUGGAGUCCUCUUCCAAUGCAAACAGGCUCUCCAGUUUUUAGCUUGAUCAGUCGAUUUUCUUGCAGGCUGUUGGAAACUCUGAAGAAUCAAAUGCUGUAAAGUGACAUCACAGAAGUGGGUUUGCUGUUGCUGACUUAGCUCCCUGGAACAUCCUGGACUAGGGGACAUGGGAACACUUUGACAAGGCAUUAGUUUUAUAGAGUAAAUGCAUUGAUUUCCACACUGUCAGUAAUUUAAGGAUCUAUUUGCAACUGAGUGCUAAGACAUUUUGGCUCCUGUUGGCAUCAUGCUCUGUAUAAUGCAACAGACAGUGGGGUUUAGAAAAAGCUAAAAAGUUUUUAAUGCUUCUGGCUUGAAGCUGACAUUGUGCCUAAGCCCUUUUCUCUAUGAUUAAUUUGGUGGCUGAACCUGAGGUUCUAUCUGGCAAGUUAAGUUUUUCACUACUCAGGUAAAAGCACUAAAUAUCCCUCACUGGGACUUAGGACAGCACUUGAAUACAAGAGCUGUCGUAGGGAAAAUCUAAUUUCUUGACUCAAGAGGACAGAAAAUUACCUGAUAUGUCAGUGCUGGUUGUUUGGUUAAUGACAUUUACUGGAAAUAGUAUAUAACUACAAGUAUUCGAACUUCACAAAAUAAGAUGUUUUCAAAUUAUAAUGUGAUAUUUGUACCGAGAUGAGUUCAGUUGGUUGGAGCAUGGUGCUAAUAAUGCCAGGGUCACAGGUUUGAUCCCUGUACAGGCCAUUCAGUUAAGAGCUGGACUCAGUGAUCCUUCUGGGUCCCUUCCAGCUCAGAAUAUUCUUACACACGGAUCUGCAUGUAAAUGCACCGUGAUGGAUGAGGCAGGCUGCAGCGAAUCCCUGAAAGAUCAGUUCCCAUAUCAAAAGGAAUCACUAUUGACCCAAAUUUCCUUCUGAAACCAGUGGGAGAUGCUGCUGUCGCAUGGGGUGCAGAAAGGUUUAUAGCAGACAGCAAGUAGUGGAGGCGGUCAGAUGAGUUCAGUCCAACUUCCAGAAUCCCAAGGAAACCCGGCACGACGGGAUAAAGAUGACUGUUCUAGGAGUGCAUCGUUUGUAGAAUAUUAAAGCCAUCAGUUGUGCCUGUGUCAA